rnacentral:rRNA from 1 species
AGAGUUUGAUCCUGGCUCAGAACGAACGCUGGCGGCGUGGAUUAGGCAUGCAAGUCGAACGAUCUUUUAGAUAGUGGCGUAAGGGUGAGUAACACGUGGGUAAUCUACCUUUGACUUGGGAAUAACCUCGCGAAAGCGUGGCUAAUACCGAAUAAUAUUGUACCGUCGCAUGGCGGAACAAUCAAAGCCUUCGGGCGGUUUAAGAUGAGCCCGCGUCCUAUCAGCUUGUUGGUGGGGUAAAAGCCUACCAAGGCUACGACGGGUAGCUGGUCUGAGAGGAUGGUCAGCCACACUGGGACUGAGACACUGCCCAGACUCCUACGGGAGGCUGCAGUCGAGAAUCUUCCCCAAUGGACGAAAGUCUGAGGGAGCGACGCCGCGUGAGGGAUGACGAUCUUCGGAUUGUAAACCUCUGUCACCUCGGAUGAAGCAAUGACAGUACGAGGAGAGGAAGCGCCGGCUAACUCCGUGCCAGCAGCCGCGGUAAUACGGAGGGCGCAAGCGUUGUUCGGAUUUAUUGGGCGUAAAGGGUGUGUAGGUGGAUAUGUAAGUCUUAAGUGAAAUCCUCCGGCUUAACCGGAGAACUGCUUAGGAAACUACUUAUCUUGAGUGCAGAGGAAGAGAGCGGAAUUCUCGGUGUAGCGGUGAAAUGCGUAGAUAUCGAGAAGAACACCAGCGGCGAAGGCGGCUCUCUAUUCUGAUACUGACACUGAAACACGAAAGCUAGGGUAGCGAAUGGGAUUAGAUACCCCAGUAGUCCUAGCCGUAAACGAUGGGCACUUGCUGUGGGUCCGUAAGGAUCUGUGGCGAAGCUAACGCAUUAAGUGCCCCGCCUGGGGAGUACGGUCGCAAGGCUAAAACUCAAAGGAAUUGACGGGGACCCGCACAAGCUGUGGAUCAUGUGGUUUAAUACGACGCUACGCGUAGAACCUUACCAAGGUUUGACAUGCUAGUGGUAGUCCUGAUGAAAAUCGGGAUGACCUCUCUGAGGAGCUAGCACAGGUGUUGCAUGGCUGUCGUCAGCUCGUGUCGUGAGAUGUUGGGUUAAGUCCCGCAACGAGCGCAACCCUCAUUUUUAGUUGCUCUAUUUUUAAUAGAGAUCUCUAAAGAAACUGCUCCGUUUAACGGGGAGGAAGGUGGGGACGACGUCAAGUCAUCAUGGCCCUUACGCCUUGGGCUACACACGUGAUACAAUCCCUGCUACAAAGGGCUGCAAUACCGUGAGGUGGAGCCAAUCCCAAAAAGCAGGGUCAGUUCGGAUUGGAGUCUGCAACCCGACUCCAUGAAGUUGGAAUCGCUAGUAAUGGCGCAUCAGCUACGGCGCCGUGAAUACGUUCCCGGGUCUUGUACACACCGCCCGUCACAUCACCCGAGUUGAUUGUACCCGAAGUCCUAGCUAUGCUAGGCCCACGGUGUGAUCGGUAAGGUGGAUGAAGUCGUAACAAGGUAGCCGUAC